rnacentral:rRNA from 1 species
GUGCAGCAGGCGAGAAUACUCCGCAAUGCCCGAAAGGGUGACGGGGGGAUUCCAAGUGCCUACGCUUAGCGUAGGCUGUUCAGGUGCCUAAAAAGCACCUGGAGGAAGGGCUGGGUAAGACGGGUGCCAGCCGCCGCGGUAAUACCCGCAGCCCGAGUGGUAGUCGCUUUUAUUGGGCCUAAAGCGUCCGUAGCCGGUCUGGUAAAUGCCUGGGUAAAUCGUGGGGCUUAACCUCACGAAUUCCGGGUAGACUGCCAGACUUGGGACCGGUUGAGGGAGAGGGUACUCCAGGGGUAGGGGUGAAAUCAGCAAGGUAAGCUGAUGUAACUUGCCUUGCAAGUCACAAUCCUGUAAUCCUUGGAGGACCACCGGUGGCGAAAGCGCUCUCCUAGGACGGGUCCGACGGUGAGGGACGAAAGCCAGGGGAGCAAAACCGGAUUAGAUACCCCCGUAGU